rnacentral:ncRNA from 1 species
GUAAAAGUGAUGCAAAGGACAUGAUUCUUUUAUCCCUGUGUACCAGAGAGAGGCUAAUGCUGGAAAUGCCUUACACAUAUAUUAGAGUUACCCCCUUUAAACUGAUUUGUCGAACCUAAGUAGGCAAAUACGGUCGCCACCGUUAUCGGGCUUAAUGAAGUGAAUUAACUAUACACAUAUAUUGGUAUAGGUAGUUAACUAGGGUGGAACCGCGAAUGAUCUUCGUCCCUUGU